UCAGAUUGAAUGUUUCAUGGAUUAUCUGGAUUAUAAAAGUUCAGGAGCAGAAGAAGAUGAAAUUUCAACAGAAUCGGAUCAGACGCAGAGGACAUGAAGUUGAAAAUACGUGUACCAAAAAAUGUAUCAUAUAACAUUCCUUAAUUAAAAAUUGUAUUAAUUGUC